ensembl:snoRNA Gm24726 predicted gene, 24726
AGCAUUUGUGUGUGUUUGUUGAACUGAUGGACACAGACUUAAAGACAGGUGCAAAAGGCAACCCUCUUUGCAACCUAGAACGCACUAGUCAAUGAGUUCCGACACACGUAGAAGGAGUAUG